rnacentral:rRNA from 1 species
AUUGAACGCUGGCGGCAGGCCUAAUACAUGCAAGUAGAGCGGCAGCGGGAAAGUAGCUUGCUACUUUUGUCGGCGAGCGGCGGACGGGUGAGUAAUGCCUGGGGAUCUGCCCAGUCGAGGGGGAUAACAGUUGGAAACGACUGCUAAUACCGCAUACGCCCUACCGGGGUAAGGAGGGGACCUUCGGGCCUUCCGCGAUUGGAGGAACCCGGGUGGGAUUAGCUAGUUGGUGGGGUAAUGGCUCACCAAGGCGACGAUCUCUAGCUGGUCUGGGAGGGGGAUCAGCCACACUGGAACGGAGACACGGGCCAGACUCCUACGGGAGGCAGCAGUGGGGAAUAUUGCACAAUGGGGGAAACCCUGAUGCAGCCAUGCCGCGUGUGUGAAGAAGGCCUUCGGGUUGUAAAGCACUUUCAGCGAGGAGGAAAGGUUGGCGCCUAAUACGUGUCAACUGUGACGAUACUCGCAGAAGAAGCACCGGCUAACUCCGUGCCAGCAGCCGCCGUAA